ACGGCAGCACGGGAGCAAUCCUGGUGGCGAGUGGCGAACGGGUGAGUAAUAUAUCGGAACGUGCCCAGUCGUGGGGGAUAACGCAGCGAAAGCUGUGCUAAUACCGCAUACGAUCUAUGGAUGAAAGCGGGGGAUCGCAAGACCUCGCGCGAUUGGAGCGGCCGAUAUCAGAUUAGCUAGUUGGUGGGGUAAAGGCCCACCAAGGCGACGAUCUGUAGCUGGUCUGAGAGGACGACCAGCCACACUGGAACUGAGACACGGUCCAGACUCCUACGGGAGGCAGCAGUGGGGAAUUUUGGACAAUGGGCGCAAGCCUGAUCCAGCAAUGCCGCGUGCAGGAUGAAGGCCUUCGGGUUGUAAACUGCUUUUGUACGGAACGAAACGGUCCUUUCUAAUACAAGGGGCUAAUGACGGUACCGUAAGAAUAAGCACCGGCUAACUACGUGCCAGCAGCCGCGGUAAUACGUAGGGUGCGAGCGUUAAUCGGAAUUACUGGGCGUAAAGCGUGCGCAGGCGGUUAUGUAAGACAGAUGUGAAAUCCCCGGGCUCAACCUGGGACCUGCAUUUGUGACUGCAUAGCUAGAGUACGGUAGAGGGGGAUGGAAUUCCGCGUGUAGCAGUGAAAUGCGUAGAUAUGCG
rnacentral:rRNA from 1 species